rnacentral:rRNA from 1 species
UACGGAGGGUGCAAGCGUUGUUCGGAAUCAUUGGGCGUAAAGCGCGUGUAGGCGGCUUGGCAAGUCGGUUGUGAAAGCCCGGGGCCCAACCCCGGAACUGCAUCUGAAACUGCCUGGCUAGAGUCCCGGAGAGGAAGACAGAAUUCCCGGUGUAGGGGUGAAAUCCGUAGAUAUCGGGAGGAAUACCAGCGGCGAAGGCGGCCUUCUGGACGGUGACUGACGCUGAGACGCGAAAGCGUGGGGAGCAAACAGG